rnacentral:rRNA from 1 species
UCAGAUUGAACGCUGGCGGCAGGCCUAACACAUGCAAGUCGAACGGAAACAUGUCUAGCUUGCUAGAUGAUGUCGAGUGGCGGACGGGUGAGUAAUGCUUGGGAACUUGCCUUUGCGAGGGGGAUAACAGUUGGAAACGACUGCUAAUACCGCAUAAUGUCUACGGACCAAACAGGGCUUUUAGCUCUGGCGCAAAGAGAGGCCCAAGUGAGAUUAGCUAGUUGGU